rnacentral:sRNA from 1 species
AAGCUCACCAUGUAUUUUCUCUUUAGGGAGAGAAGAAUUUGGAAAAUUCUUAAAGAAUUUGGUGUGCUUAAAGACUGCACAGGUUGUUCCUGUUUUAAAAAGAACCUCUUUUGAUAGCAUAAUAUUGGUUUCCAGGGGGAGAGCAAGGACCUGCUGUUUAUCUUGACAGCGAAGUACAAUGCCUGCAUCCUGGAGUAUAAACAGAGUGGCGAGAGCAUUGACAUCAUUACACGGGCCCAUGGCAAUGUCCAGGACCGCAUUGGCCGCCCCUCAGAGACCGGCAUUAUUGGCAUCAUUGACCCUGAGUGCCGGAUGAUUGGCCUGCGUCUCUAUGAUGGCCUUUUCAAGGUUAUUCCACUAGAUCGCGAUAAUAAAGAACUCAAGGCCUUCAACAUCCGCCUGGAGGAGCUGCAUGUCAUUGAUGUCAAGUUCCUAUAUGGUUGCCAAGCACCCACUAUUUGCUUUGUCUACCAGG